GAUUAGCGACGAGAAAUGCUACAUAAGAGCAGUAAUACACCUGGACCUUAAGCUCGACCUUGUUCUGACAUGGGUGAUUAACUUCCUUGGGCGUCAAGUUGUGGGACACGGCUUCAGGCUAUACCUCAAGACUGUUUCUUCUGUUAAAGAGAGCAAAGUGUUUCAAGAAUGCAUCAGGCAACAGCCACUCUACAGCCACAUAACGUUACAGAUGCUACCAAAAUCGAGCCACGAAAAUGGAUACAAGAGUUGAGGUGCUUUUCAUAAGAAGUAUUCAUAAGCUUCCUGCACAAGAGCAUUUACAUUUAUAAACAAUUUAUAAACAAAGAGGAGCUUGAGGCCCACCGAUACUCCUGAAAAGUCCGAACUUA